UGGGGUUUUGGCUCAGUGGUAGAGAGCUUGCCUAGUAUGCAUGAGGCACUGGGUUUGAUUCUCAGCAUCACAU
rnacentral:tRNA from 1 species